ACGUACUGGUGUUACUGGUUCCUACCUUCUGACGAACCAUCAUGUCAUUCAUUUGGUGUGGCGGGGAAUCAGGACUGUUACUUUGAAAAAAUUAGAGUGUUUAAAGCAGGCUCGCGCUUGAAUACAUUAGCAUGGAAUAAUGAAAUAGGACGUUGAUCCUAUUUUGUUGGUUUCUAGGGUUGACGUAAUGAUUAAUAGGGAUAGUUGGGGGCAUUAGUAUUCAAUUGUCAGAGGUGAAAUUCUUGGAUUUAUUGAAGACUAACUACUGCGAAAGCAUUUGCCAAGGAUGUUUUCAUUAAUCAAGAACGAAAGUUAGGGGAUCGAAGACGUUCAGAUACCGUCGUAGUCUUAACCAUAAACUAUGCCGACUAGGGAUCGGAUGAUGUUAAUUUUUUAAUGACUCAUUCGGCGCCUUACG
rnacentral:rRNA from 1 species